rnacentral:rRNA from 1 species
GACGAACGCUGGCGGCGUGCUUAACACAUGCAAGUCGAGCGGUAAGGCCCUUUCGGGGGUACACGAGCGGCGAACGGGUGAGUAACACGUGGGUGACCUGCCCUCAGCUCUGGGAUAAGCCUGGGAAACCGGGUCUAAUACUGGAUAUGACUCCAUGACGCAUGUUGUGGGGUGAAAGCCUUGUGCGGCUGAGGAUGGGCCCGCGGCCUAUCAGCUUGUUGGUGGGGUGAGGCCUACCAAGGCGACGACGGGUAGCCGGCCUGAGAGGGCGACCGGCCACACUGGGACUGAGACACGGCCCAGACUCCUACGGGAGGCAGCAGUGGGGAAUCUUGCGCAAUGGGCGAAAGCCUGACGCAGCG